rnacentral:rRNA from 1 species
AGCGAACGCUGGCGGCAGGCUUAACACAUGCCAGUCGAGCGGGCCCUUCGGGGUCAGCGGAAGACGGGUGAGUAACACGUGGGAACGUACCCUUUGGUUCGGAAUAACGCUGGGAAACUAGCGCUAAUACCGGAUACGCCCUUUUGGGGAAAGGCUUGCUGCCGAAGGAUCGGCCCGCGUCUGAUUAGCUAGUUGGUGGGGUAAUGGCCUACCAAGGCGACGAUCAGUAGCUGGUCUGAGAGGAUGAUCAGCCACACUGGGACUGAGACACGGCCCAGACUCCUACGGGAGGCAGCAGUGGGGAAUAUUGGACAAUGGGCGCAAGCCUGAUCCAGCCAUGCCGCGUGAGUGAUGAAGGCCUUAGGGUUGUAAAGCUCUUUUGUCCGGGACGAUAAUGACGGUACCGGAAGAAUAAGCCCCGGCUAACUUCGUG